UACGUAGGGGGCAAGCGUUGUCCGGAAUUAUUGGGCGUAAAGAGCGCGUAGGCGGUCCGAUAAGUCGGCUGUGAAAGUCAGGGGCUCAACCCUUGAAAGCCGGCCGAUACUGUCGGACUAGAGUCCGGAAGAGGCGAGUGGAAUUCCCGGUGUAGCGGUGGAAUGCGCAGAUAUCGGGAGGAACACCCGUGGCGAAGGCGGGUCCCUGGGACGGUACUGACGCUGAGACGCGAAAGCGUGGGGAGCGAACAGG
rnacentral:rRNA from 1 species